AUUGAACGCUGGCGGCAUGCCUUACACAUGCAAGUCGAACGGCAGCACGGGAGCAAUCCUGGUGGCGAGUGGCGAACGGGUGAGUAAUAUAUCGGAACGUGCCCAGUCGUGGGGAUAACGUAGCGAAAGCUACGCUAAUACCGCAUACGAUCUAUGGAUGAAAGCGGGGGAUCGCAAGACCUCGCGCGAUUGGAGCGGCCGAUAUCAGAUUAGGUAGUUGGUGAGGUAAAGGCUCACCAAGCCGACGAUCUGUAGCUGGUCUGAGAGGACGACCAGCCACACUGGGACUGAGACACGGCCCAGACUCCUACGGGAGGCAGCAGUGGGGAAUUUUGGACAAUGGGCGCAAGCCUGAUCCAGCAAUGCCGCGUGCAGGAUGAAGGCCUU
rnacentral:rRNA from 1 species